CGACAUCCUCAGGCACUGCAGAGAGAGGGAGAGUCAGGUGUCAAGACAGCUCAGUGAACUACUGGUGCAUCUUGGGGCUAAAGCUACUACAGCUAACGUCCUAAGGCAAGAGAGAAAUGUCAGAGGGAGAGUGUCAGAUUGAAGAAAUUGAACUAGUGGGCAGGCAGUUAACCCACUGUUCCCCAGGCGCCAAAGACGUGGAUGUCGAUCAAGGCAGCCCCCGGCACCUCUCCGAUUCAGAAAUGUGACUGAAACAGCGAGCGCAGCAGCGUACAUAACUGAAAUACAAUCCAGGUGACUACCUCAUGACGCUGGUUGAGAGAAUGCCAAGAGUGUGCAAAGCUGUCAUCAAGGCAAAGGGUGGCUACUUAAAA